rnacentral:rRNA from 1 species
AUUGAACGCUGGCGGCAUGCCUUACACAUGCAAGUCGAACGGCAUCGCGGGAAAGCUUGCUUUCCUGGCGGCGAGUGGCGACCGGGUGAGUAACACAUCGGAACGUACCGGCUAGUGGGGGAUAACCCGUCGAAAGACGGGCUAAUACCGCAUACGCUCUUCGGAGGAAAGCAGGGGACCUUUGGGCCUUGCGCUAGUCGAGCGGCCGAUGUCCGAUUAGCUAGUUGGUGGGGUAAAGGCCUACCAAGGCGACGAUCGGUAGCGGGUCUGAGAGGACGAUCCGCCACACUGGGACUGAGACACGGCCCAGACUCCUACGGGAGGCAGCAGUGGGGAAUCUUGGACAAUGGGGGCAACCCUGAUCCAGCAAUGCCGCGUGGGUGAAGAAGGCCUUCGGGUUGUAAAGCCCUUUCGGCAGGGAAGAAAUCGGCGGGGCGAAUAACCCUGCUGGAUGACGGUACCUGCAGAAGAAGCACCGGCUAACUACGUG